rnacentral:rRNA from 1 species
UACGUAGGGGGGCUAGCGUUGUCCGGAAUCAUUGGGCGUAAAGCGCGUGUAGGCGGUCCGGUAAGUCCGCUGUGAAAGUCGGGGGCUCAACCCUCGAAUGCCGGUGGAUACUGUCGGGCUAGAGUACGGAAGAGGCGAGUGGAAUUCCUGGUGUAGCGGUGAAAUGCGCAGAUAUCAGGAGGAACACCAAUUGCGAAGGCAGCUCGCUGGGACGUUACUGACGCUGAGACGCGAAAGCGUGGGGAGCAAACAGG